GCAUAAAGCUCUUGCCUUGUAGUUUUGAAAUCUCUCCCAAGUAGAAGUCAUACAGGGGAGAGAUGUUGCUUCUUAGUGUUGAAAUAUUAGAGAAUGUAUGCAUGCAUCCUCCUGUGCUUAUUAUCAAAUUUAUUGUUCUAAUGAUAGAUAAUCAAAAUAGGAAGGUUUUUUUUUUUUGAGAAUGAUAUACUUUGCAUUUAUAUUACAGUGAUAGCCAGUCUAUAUAGAUAAUAUCUGUUAGAAGUAAAACAUCAUGUGGAUUUCCCCCCCUAGAAAUUUCACUGUUCCUUAAUAUCAAAGAGAUAACUCAUCCCCAAAAAAUUGAAAAAAAUUUAAGGCAGGUUUGAAUGAAAGAGUGACAUAUCAACAUGUUUACAUGAUGUCCCUAAAAUUGUUUAGAGGUCAAUCCUUUAGUUCUACCCUUGAUGUCUGUUAGUCAACAAAGGUGAUAAGACAUUCCAAAUUCAGAUUUAAGGAUUAGCUUGGAGACCAGAAAGGAAAUAAGAUAAUCUAGGGUCAAGCGCUGAAACCUAAAAUAGAACACCCAUGUCUGGUUUUAGAUGCGGCCAAGGGAGGCUAUGUACUUACAUUUUUAAAGAAGUUUUGCUCCUUUUUAUAUCAUCUUUAUUUUUAGACCUUUCAGGUAGAAUCAUUAAUAUUGGUGCUUGCUUUGUAUUUUGUAUAAUUUUUUUUUAACUUUUGAAGUUAGGAACUUCAUAUUAGUUUUUUUUUUUUUGGAAAUAUUUUCAUCAUUGCUGGAGCAAUGCUUUCUUCUAUCAGACUAGAAUCAAAGUACACACGUACAUGUAUAUAGAUUAUAGACUUAGUUCUACAGCUAGUAUAGGCUAUGUUGUGAAAUUACCAUUAUUGAGCAAAAGUGUUUUUGUGUAUCGCAUAUGUUUAAGUGGUUUUGCAUAGGUGUUGAUUUUGAUUGGUUGUGAACUAUACAGAGUGCAAGAUUAAUAAAAUAUUUGAUGCAUAAAGGUUGAUUUGUUCCUAAAGUCUACAAAGAUUUUUUUUUACAAUCUUAUGUAUGUUGUAAUGAACGGUUUCAUAAAUUAGUCACUGGUGUUUUAAAUGUAUAAAAGAUAAUUUUAAAACAGCAAAUAAUCUUUGUAAAUUUGAAAGUAUUAGACAGUUCUCUAAAUGUUCUGUGUAUAUGUGCUACAUGAUUUUACAUUUGUUAAUCUUUAAUAAUAUUUUGCAUUUUUGUUUUAAUAAAAAUGUAUUGAUUUAG
rnacentral:sRNA from 1 species